UCUGUCAAACUGGAAUAUGGUAGUCUAGGUCACAGCAAGAGAGAGAGAGAGAGAGAGAGAGAGAGAGAGAGAGAGAGAGAGAGAGAGAGAGAGAGAGAGAAAGAAAGCUCAUCACAUCGCCUAUUCCAUGAACCAUCACCACUACCACGUCCAUCACCACCAUUACCACAAUUACUACUCCAUUACAUCUACCGCCACGGAACAAGACUUCAAAUAUGCAUUCCUUUGUUACACCACAGAUGGAAAUUUCCUCUCCCUCUCUCUUUCUCUCUCUCUCCCUCCCUCUCUUUGGGUGAUGGUGUGACUCCCGGACACAAUCCUUCCCCUCAGCCUUCCUCUCACCCUCUCCUUCCCCUCUCCUCCCCUCCCAGGCCCGGGGCAGCCCUCAUCUCUCCUCCGCCUGAGAAGGGGUCAGUGGCCAACGGAAAUGUGUAGGAUUAGCAGAAACAAAAAGAGUUAUCCCUGAGUCUUCUUUGAUAUUAGGACGUUUGGCAGCGCGGGAAAGCGGUCAUGAGAACCUGACUUGUCAUCUGUGGCCUUCGAAAACAGUCCUUACAGUGGCCUAGCGUUUCGCAAUACCAUUCAGGCAUGCAGUGGAGAUCUCAACAGCAGCGUGUCAAGUGUGAUGUGUGGCGAAUCAUGUUGCGGAUACACGAGUGAACUUGUUAAAAUGGUGAAAUGAGCUUCGAAGUCAUUGCCAUGUUAAUUUUGUUCAUCAUAAAUACAAACCAUAACAUUUCAGUGAAUGCUGUUUUCUGUAGUAGCAAUAGUAAUACUUGCAAGUAGAAGUGUUUGAGCCUAUCUAUUAAAGAACUAACACAAAAUUAGACACGCCCAUCAUCUUCAAAAAUCUAUUACCUAAAGCACUAGUAAGAGUAAUUGAAAGCCCCACAAGGCAAACCACUGGAAAACACAGGGGUGGCGAGCUGAGAGGAGAGAGAGAGGCGGGGGAAGCGAGGAGGAAGAAAGCGUGGUGUGGCAGUGGAGUGAAACAUCCAGUGCGCAUGUGCGGGGUGGGCCAGAGCGCUGCCAGACGUACGACUCACGCUGUCUUUUUCUUUAGUAUUCUCCUAUCACGCAAAUCGGCUCAUGGGAUAUCAAGUGUACCUAAUGCGUACCUUGGGCUCAGGUUCAUAAGUUUGUCCUUUCUUUGCAGGGACUCGGAUCUUAUCAACAUCUGCUGGUGUUCUUGUGCUGUCACGUGACACCUCUCUUGGUCUUAUAUAUUCCUGGGUGGCAACUCUUAAUAUCAGAGAAUGUUACAUAUUCCUGGAAAAUAUAAAGUAAUUUGUGCCAUAUAUCCCUAAUUAAGAGAGAGAGAGAGAGAGAGAGAGAGAGAGAGAGAGAGAGAGAGAGAGAGAGAG